ACAAGGGCAGCGAGGAGCAAGAGAGGGCGAGCGCUGGGGAGGAGGAAGGAAGGAAAGCAGAUCUGUUGCAUCACCUGAGGAUUGUUUUGCCUCCUUCUGCCCUUUUUUUCCUUCCUCCUUCUCUCCUUGCCCUCUGUUUGCUCUCUCCUUCCUUUCUCUCCUCUGC